AGGGGAUUGAAAAUCCCCGUGUCCUUGGUUCGAUUCCGAGUCCGGGCACCA
rnacentral:tRNA from 1 species